rnacentral:lncRNA from 1 species
ACUCUGCAUUGAACACAUUUCCAUGUUGAUCCCAAUAUUGCAGCACAGUUAGAGAAGUAUCCUGUGUCAUAAACUUAAAACAAAUCUACUCACUUUCUUCGUCACUAUUGUCUAUGUUCAAAUGAUUCAUGUUCUUUUCAAGAGGUGGAAGCCCGUCUUCAGAAUCUUCUUCGUCAGUAUCAUCUAUGUUCAAAUGAUUCAUAUUCCUUUCAAGAGGUGGAAGCCCGUCUUCAGAAUCUUCUUCGUCACUAUCGGCUAUGUUCGAAUGAUUCAUGUUCCUUUCAAGAGGUGGAAGCCCGUCAUCAGAAUCGGAAGAAUUUUGAUCAUUAUCUUCAUUUUCAUGCUUAACAUCUGCUAUGCAGCAUAGGAAAAAGAACACAGUAGAGAAAAAUUCACAAUAUAUUAGAUAUUCAACAAAAAACCAAACUUUUUCUCACUAAGUCACUAGAUAAGAUUGA